rnacentral:lncRNA from 1 species
GGAAUUGAACAAGCUAUGACAGAGUCUAUCCAGAAGAAGAAAUUGAAAACUCUUCGGCAUUUGUCCGCAAGCUUUAAAGCCGUCCGAAGACCAUUGUGCUUCUGCUGAAUUAACUUGAUAGCCAGCAACAAAAACAGCAAGAUUUAUUUAAAGGGUCUUUAUCUUAGUAUGCAAUUAAUUAUUAAACAUGAUUUUAUAAUUAGUGAUUCAUACAUUAAGUAAAAUAGAAACCUGGAUUUGAAAACUACUAUGUUGGUAAAAUCGCUUGAAGCAGCAGCUUAAAAUUAUCAGAUGGUGUGAAAACGGGAGAAGAUCUACAAGAGGGUAAUGAAGUUUUCUAAAGUCCAACUGAAAUGAUUUCAGGAUUCACUUCAACAAUGCAAAAGCAUAUUUGAUAUUUCAAAACUGAUGAAAUUCAUUAUCAUUAUCCUUAUCUUGGACGUAACACAUCUCAAAAUGCAUUAUUUACUGAUGCUAACACUUGAAAUAAAAAAAAUUAAAUGACAACCAAUUUAAAGAAGCAAAGUAUUUUUAUAUUACAUACUUGGUUGUACCCCAAACCCAAUUUGUAAGACAUGAAGAAGAAAUCUCUUCUAUAGAGUUAUUUCCAAAAUGGCAGAAUCUACCAUCUUGAAUCAAAGUAUAGCAUUAGAACAAGAAGGAGAAUUAAGGACAUUCUAUUUCGAGAGCUACCUGAUAGGGUACUCCAUUCUUGACAGAGUACUGGCCUUCGUUGUCAUAUUGCCACCGAAUCUGAACUUCUUUGAGGAAAUGAAUGCUUUGGUGGAAGAAGACCUUGAGCAAGAAAGAGACCAACAUGAAAGAGAGAUGAAGAAAAUCUCUAAUUAUGCAGAUAUGGUCUGAUUGGCUUGUGAGAUAACUAACCAAACUAAUCACUACUUUCAAUCUCAAUUAAAUUCCAACAAACAAUCUAUUUUCUAUACGGACUUGUGUGGUGAUCAGCCAAAUAAAGUUGCCUGAAAACUGCUCCGACAAAACUCUGGGGAUAUAGUACAUUGUUUGUUGAAAUUGAACAUGUAAACAGAAAUAUAAAAGCUCUUGUUGAAAUCCGACCGAGAUUGAAAGUAGUGAUUAAUUUGGUUGGUUAACUUACAAGCCCACAAGACCAAUUGGAUUAGUUAUGGGUCUUCUUCCACCAAGCAUCCACUUCCCCACAGGAUUUCAAGGCAGCAAAAUGUAUGCGGAUCGAUCUUCAAUUUGCCGUCUCUGAGUAUGAAACGUGAUCCAGUAGAUUGAGUUUAUAUAAAUAAAAUUGUACUCCGAAAAUUGGCCAUCCCUCAAUACGUGUUAAUCCAUG